rnacentral:pre_miRNA from 1 species
UAUUAAAAAAUUCAUCCAUUUACAUGGUUAAAAACUAGUGUGACGAACAAAAUAAUCAGAUAGUGAUAUAUGACAUGUUACGUAUACCUCAUAGUGACAUACAAAGACUAUUUUUAACAAAAGAAGUUAAUGUAAUUUUUAACA